rnacentral:rRNA from 1 species
UCGCCUGUUUACCAAAAACAUCGCCUCUUGCAAAGCUAAAGAAUAAGAGGUCCCGCCUGCCCUGUGACUAUUAGUUUAACGGCCGCGGUAUUUUGACCGUGCAAAGGUAGCGCAAUCACUUGUCUUUUAAAUGAAGACCUGUAUGAAUGGCACAACGAGGGCUUAACUGUCUCCUCUUUCAAGUCAAUGAAAUUGAUCUCCCCGUGCAGAAGCGGGGAUAUAAACAUAAGACGAGAAGACCCUAUGGAGCUUUAGACACCAAAGAAGAUCCUGUCAAGUAACCCCUUACAAGGGCCUGAACUAAUGGAAUCCUUCCCUAAUGUCUUUGGUUGGGGCGACCGCGGGGAAACAAAAAACCCCCACGUGGAAAGGGAGCACCCCCUCCUACAACUAAGAGCCGCAGCUCUAAUUAACAGAAUAUCUGACCAAUAAGAUCCGGCAAUGCCGAUCAACGGACCGAGUUACCCUAGGGAUAACAGCGCAAUCCCCUUUUAGAGCCCAUAUCGACAAGGGGGUUUACGACCUCGAUGUUGGAUCAGGACAUCCUAAUGGUGCAGCCGCUAUUAAGGGUCCGUUUGUUCAACGGUUAAAGUCCUACGUGAUCUGAGUUCAGACCRGA